ensembl:lncRNA
ACAUUAGGAAGAAUUUGAGGGUGGUGUAGAAACUUGAUUGGAAUCUAAAACGGCUGUAAGACAACCCCACAAGGUUUAAAGUGUAAUUCAAAAGGGUGCAUCCGAUGGAAACUUUACUAUUCCAUGAGGCCACAGAAAAGGAGCUGUGAAUGGCAAUUUUCACUGUAAGUUACAUGACAACAUGGUGUAUGUUUUACAUCUGAAUUUUAUUCACACUACACAAAUUCAAACUAAAUAGAACAUACUUUUUAAUGAUCGCAAAGGAAGUAUCUGUUCAGAGAA